AAAGUCGGGUAUGCAUACCCGUUUGCAUGUACNUUNUGAAUAAGGAUCGGCUAACUCCGUGCCAGCAGCCGCGGUAAUACGGAGGAUCCGAGCGUUAUCCGGAUUUAUUGGGUUUAAAGGGAGCGUAGAUGGAUGUUUAAGUCAGUUGUGAAAGUUUGCGGCUCAACCGUAAAAUUGCAGUUGAUACUGGAUAUCUUGAGUGCAGUUGAGGCAGGCGGAAUUCGUGGUGUAGCGGUGAAAUGCUUAGAUAUCACGAAGAACUCCGAUUGCGAAGGCAGCCUGCUAAGCUGCAACUGACAUUGAGGCUCGAAAGUGUGGGUAUCAAACAGGAUUAGAUACCCUGGUAGUCCACACGGUAAACGAUGAAUACUCGCUGUUUGCGAUAUACAGCAAGCGGCCAAGCGAAAGCGUUAAGUAUUCCACCUGGGGAGUACGCCGGCAACGGUGAAACUCAAAGGAAUUGACGGGGGCCCGCACAAGCGGAGGAACAUGUGGUUUAAUUCGAUGAUACGCGAGGAACCUUACCCGGGCUUAAAUUGCAGAUGAAUUACGGUGAAAGCCGUAAGCCGCAAGGCAUCUGUGAAGGUGCUGCAUGGUUGUCGUCAGCUCGUGCCGUGAGGUGUCGGCUUAAGUGCCAUAACGAGCGCAACCCUUGUUGUCAGUUACUAACAGGUUCCGCUGAGGACUCUGACAAGACUGCCAUCGUAAGAUGUGAGGAAGGUGGGGAUGACGUCAAAUCAGCACGGCCCUUACGUCCGGGGCUACACACGUGUUACAAUGGGGGGUACAGAGGGCCGCUACCACGCGAGUGGAUGCCAAUCCCAAAAACCUCUCUCAGUUCGGACUGGAGUCUGCAACCCGACUCCACGAAGCUGGAUUCGCUAGUAAUCGCGCAUCAGCCACGGCGCGGUGAAUACGUUCCCGGGCCUUGUACACACCGCCCGUCAAGCCAUGGGAGCCGGGGGUACCUGAAGUGCGUAACCGCGAGGAGCGCCCUAGGGUAAAACUGGUGACUGGGGCUAAGUCGUAACAAGGUAA
rnacentral:rRNA from 1 species